UGGCCUGUCUGGGUCCCCCUCCCAGUCUGAGCGUCAUUGCAGUGGAAUAUCUCCCCUUCUCACCAAUCAUAACACGUCACUGUGGCAGCAGCGGAUAGCUGGAAACCACCUGCCAGUGCCCAGCAUGUAGGGCGUGCCCCUAGAGCGGGAGCUGCCACCUGCUUCCUGGGGCCCAGGCCCCCCAGCCACCUUGGAGGGAGGUGGUGUGCAUCUGUGCUCCCAGCUACUGAGGAAGCUGAGGUGGGAGGAUUGCUUGAGCCCAGGAGGUUGAGGCUGCAAUUGCACCACUGCACUCCAGGAUGGGCAGCGGCGUGAGACUCUGUCUCAAAAACAAAAACCAGUGCUCUUCAAAAAUGAAGUUUUUGAAAUGGAAAAAGUAGGCCAGGUGCAGUGGCUCACACCUGUAAUCCCAGUGCUUUGGGAGGCCAAGGCGGGCGGAUCACUUGAGGUCAAGGAGUUUGAGGCCAGCCUGGCCAACAUAGUGAAACCCUGUCUCUACUAAAAAUACAAAAGUUAGCUGGGCAUGGUGGCACGUGCCUGUAAUCCCAGCUACUCUGGAGGCUGAGGCAGGAGAAUCACUUGAACCCAGGACGUGGAGGUGGCAGUGAGCCGAGAUCGCACCACUGCACGCCACCCUGAGAGACAGCGAGAUUUCGUCUAAAGAAAAAAAAAAAAGGUUGGGCGUGGUGGUGGCUCACACCUGUAAUCCUAGCAUUUUGGGAGGCCAAGGAGGGCAGAUCAUGAGGUCAGGAGUUCAAGACCAGCCUGGCCAACAUGGUGAAACCCCAUCUCUACUAAAUAUACAAAAAUUAGCUGGGUGUGGUGGCACGUGCCUGUAAUCCCAGCUACUCUGGAGGCUGAGGCAGGAAUAUCGCUUGAAGCCAGGACUUGGAGGUUGCAGUGAGCCAAGAUCGCACUACUGUACUCCAGCCUGGGAGACAGAGCAAGCCUCCAUCUCAAAAAAAGAAAAGAAAAGAAAAGAAAAAAAAAGUCCAAGCGCUGUGGCUCACACCUGCAAUCCCAGCACUUUGGGAGGCCAAGGAGGGAGGAUCAUCUGGGUCAGGAGUUCGAGACCAGCCUGGCCAACAUGGUGAAACCCCAUCUCUACUAAAAAUACAAAAAUUAGCCAGGUAUGGUGGCAUGCACCUGUAGUCCCAGCUACUUGAAAGGCUGAGGCAGGAGAAUCAUUUGAACCCGGGAGGCGGAGGUUGCAGUAAGCUGAGAUUGCAUCACUGCACUCCAGCCUGGGCUACAGAGCAAGACUCUGUUUCAAAAAAAAAAAAAGUGAAAAAGUAAUACAUGUAUGUAAUCCACAAUUCAAAUCACAUCAAAAGUGCAACUACUUUUAUCAAUUUAUGUAUUUUUCCAGCAAUUUUCCGUGUGUACAUAUGGUUUUCAUGCAUGUCAGCAUCCUUCACA